rnacentral:rRNA from 1 species
GACGAACGCUGGCGGCGUGCUUAACACAUGCAAGUCGAACGGAAAGGCCUGCUUUCCCUUGUGGAUUGCGGGUACUCGGGUGGCGAACGGGUGAGUAACACGUGAGUGAUCUGCCCCCAACUUGGGUAUAAGCCUGGGAAACUGGGUCUAAUUCCCGAUAGGACUGCAGGGUGGUGCCUGUGGUGGAAAACGAUUUUCUAGUGGUUGGGGAUGAGCUCGCGGCCUAUCAGCUUGUUGGUGGGGUAAUGGCCUACCACGGCGGCGACGGGUAGCCGGCCUGAGAGGGUGGACGGACACAUUGGGAGGGAGAUACGGCCCAGAGUCAUAGGGGAGGCAGCAGUGGGGAAUAGUGCACAAGGGGCGGAAGCCUGAUGCAGCGACGCCGCGUGGGGGAGGACGGACUUCGGGUUGUAAACUCCUUCCGACCGCGAGGAAGCCACCUGGUUGGAAGGGUGGUGACGGUAGUGGUAGAAGAAGCACCGGCUAACUACGUG